UUCUAAUAGAAUUAAUUAUUAGUAAAAUCUGCUCAAUGAAUUUUAAAUAGCCGCAAUACAAUUGUGCUAAGGUAGCAUAAUCAUUUGUCUUCUAAUUAAAGACUAGAAUGAAAGAUUAAACUUAUAAAUUCUUUAUAAAUAAAACCCUUUGAAUUUAUUUUAGAUAUAAAAAAAUAUUUAUACUAAAAAAAGACGAUAAGACCCUAUUGAACUUUACUUUAGUUUAACUGGGGCAGUUAAUUAAAUAAAAUUUUAAUAGAAAUAUUAUACUAAAUGACCCAUAAAAUUUGAUUAGUUGAUAAGUUACCAUAGGGAUAACAGCGUAAUAAGAUUUCAAAGAUCGUAUUCUAAAUCUUGCUUGCGACCUCGAUGUUGAAUAAUUUAUCUAUUACAAUGCAACAAUUUAAAAAGAAAGUCUGUUCGACUUACAAAUAAUUACA
rnacentral:rRNA from 1 species